UACGUGGGGGGCAAGCGUUGUCCGGAUUUAUUGGGCGUAAAGAGCGCGUAGGCGGUUUGGUAGGUCUGCUGUGAAAACUCGAGGCUCAACCUCGAGACGCCGGUGGAAACCAUCAGACUAGAGUCCGGAAGAGGAGAGUGGAAUUCCUGGUGUAGCGGUGAAAUGCGCAGAUAUCAGGAAGAACACCCGUGGCUAAGGCGGCUCUCUAGUACGGUACUGACGCUGAGACGCGAAAGCGUGGGGAGCGAACAGG
rnacentral:rRNA from 1 species